ensembl:lncRNA
CUUUUUUUUUUUUUUACUUCAAAUUUUACUGUAUGUUUUGUUGAUGUGCACUGUAUUUUAGCAGUCUUGGUUUGCUAGGGCUCAGGUAAAAUUUCCUUCCUGCAUCUCCUCUUACUGAGCAGCAACUGAACAAGGCUUUUUUUUUUUUUUCCCCCUGGUUUUAUUCAACACCUUGUCCUAUUGCAGAUAUUACCUCCAGAUGUACUGUAUAUUGACUUUACUUUGAGAGGACCUAAGGUUUUUUGUCAGCAUCAUUUAUUACUCAUCAGUCUCUGUUUUGUCAGGAGAGUUCAGCACCUUUGACAGAUGAAAAUGGGAAAUAGCACUUUGGCCUUGGAUUUCACAGGACCCCCUUACUUCUCUGUUCUCGUUCAACAAGGAUGCCCCACGGAAUAGCAUGUUUUAAGAAGAGACAAUUAGUCAUUUUAACCUAGGUAAGUUUUUACUCUGAUAUUGUUUAUGGCUUGUUUGAGAUUUUUAUGUUUGUUUACAAUAUGUUGCUCAACUACUGUAAGUCGUAUGCCUUAGCAAUGUGUACUGAUAAAAUGAACACAUGUAAAUAUCUUUAGCAAUCAGACUUCCAGUCUUAUGACAGUUUUUGGGCAAUUAAACAAGUGCCUUGGCAUGCUAAAAUGUACUUGCCUACUACUUAGGGACACUGGGAGGAUUUAUUAGCUGUUAUGCUAGAUUAAAUCAGCCAUGGCCCUUUUGAGCAGAAAGUCUUCUCUGGGGUUGACCAGAGUAAUACUACUUUCUACUUCUCCCCAGAGCCUGUGUUGAUUUAGGUAGCCCUACAUUAGAGCGUUCUCGGUACAGGCUGUGACAGGAAGGCACGAAGUCAAUCUGUAUAAACUAGCAUUUAAUAGGCCACAAGAACCUGAGCUAGAAAUCAAUUCUGAGAAAAGAGACCAGAAUUUUCAAUACCGUGGUGCUGAAGCACACCUACCAGGGGCUGGGGCGGGCAGACAGUUGGUAUUAGGCAGUUUGAAAAUACCCAUGUGGAAUCAAUAAACAGGACCGACUCAGGGGUGACGUAAAGAGGAAGCUUAACUCCAUUACCAGCCUCUAAGUCAGGGGGAGUUUUGCAGGCGCCGGCGGGAAGACGGAGCCGUAAAUCGGGCCCGUGUGCGUGGGCCAGCCGCGUCCGUGGGGGGAGGCCUUGGCGGGGGCCUGGACCGCCCCGUCGGUGCUUCAGCACCGAGGACAGCGCCCGCCCGGCGCCACGCGAGCCCCAGCACCCUCCCGCGCGGGUCCAGCUGCCCUCCCGUCCUCCACCGCCCCUCCUUUGAUCUCCCUCCUGCUCGGGUUCCUCUUCUGCCUUCUGCCCCCUUGCCCGCCGCUUCCCCUCCUGCUCCUCGCGUGUUUCGCCCACUAACCUGUAGCGAGAGCUUCGCCUCGGUCAGACCACCCGCUAUUGCUCCUCGCUCUGUUUUUCCUUCUUUCCUAUCAAUCCCUGACGCCCCCACCCCCGGCGAGUGCCCCGACACUUUGUAAACACGGGGCCUCAGCCCGGUCGGGGAUGCACAAACGGGCUGGGGUCCCCCGGCCUCGCUCCCCCGUGGCCCGGAGGAGCCGGGGUGCUCCCCUUGCCGUGCCGGCCCCGAGCGGGGCACCAGCCAACCCCGUGUGCGUGGGGGGGGGCCCGCGGCCGCCCUCCCCCCAUAACGCGGGGCGGCGGGCCAGCCCUCUCCCGGUCUCACAGCCUGCCCCCGAACCCCCAGAGGCUCCGAGCCGCUCCCCCCGGGCGGGGGAUGGCAGCGCCUUCCCCCCCUCCCUCCACCCCGCUUCCCUUCCCCGGUGCCGCGGGGCACUCACCACCGGCGCGGAGGGCAGCGGAUGGGCGAUGCUGCGGAGCAGCACCCCGGCGGGGCGGCUGCGCUGCUGCAGCCGGCGGGGGCUAGGGGGGUUUGCGCUGGGCUCCGCCGACCCCGGCUCCCGGCCGCGCAAGCA